UUGGGCGUUCGGCGAGCGGGGGUGGUUUUUUAUGUCUGAUCUGAAAGCCUUCUACUCAACCGAAGAAGUGCUUCGGAGACUGGGAAACUUGAGUGUUUCUAAGGACAGUGGAACUCCAUGUGUAGCGGUGAAAUGCGUAGAUAUAUGGAAGAACACCAGUGGCGAAGGCGGCUGUCUGGUCUGUAACUGACGCUGAGGCUCGAAAGUAUGGGUAGCAAACAGGAUUAGAUACCCUGGUAGUCCAUACCGUAAACGAUGAAUGCUAAGUGUUGGAGGGUUUCCGCCCUUCAGUGCUGCAGCUAACGCAUUAAGCAUUCCGCCUGGGGAGUACGGCCGCAAGGCUGAAACUCAAAGGAAUUGACGGGGCCCCGCACAAGCGGCGCAGCAUGUGGUUUAAUUCGAAGCUACGCGAAGAACCUUACCAGGUCUUGACAUACUAUGCAAAUCUAAGAGAUUAGACGUUCCCUUCGGGGACAUGGAUACAGGUGGUGCAUGGUUGUCGUCAGCUCGUGUCGUGAGAUGUUGCGGUUAAGUCCCCGCAACGAGCGCAACCCUUAUUAUCAGUUUGCCAGCAUUAAAGUUGGGGCACUCUGGUGAGACUGCCCGGGUGACAAACCGGAGGAAGGUGGGGAUGACGUCAAAUCAUCAUGCCCCUUAUGACCUGGGCUACACACGUGCUACAAUGGAUGGGUACAACGAGUUUGCGAACUCGCGAGAGUAAGCUAAUCUCUUAAAGCCAUUCUCAGUUCGGAUUGUAGGCUGCAACUCGCCUACAUGAAGUCGGAAUCGCUAGUAAUCGCGGAUCAGCAUGCCGCGGUGAAUACGUUCCCGGGCCUUGUACACAC
rnacentral:rRNA from 2 species